rnacentral:rRNA from 1 species
UACGUAGGUGGCAAGCGUUGUCCGGAAUUAUUGGGCGUAAAGCGCGCGCAGGCGGUCCUUUAAGUCUGAUGUGAAAGCCCACGGCUCAACCGUGGAGGGUCAUUGGAAACUGGGGGACUUGAGUGCAGAAGAGGAAAGCGGAAUUCCACGUGUAGCGGUGAAAUGCGUAGAGAUGUGGAGGAACACCAGUGGCGAAGGCGGCUUCUUGUCUGUAACUGACGCUGAGACGCGAAAGCGUGGGGAGCGAACAGG